GUAAAAGUCGUAACAAGGUUUCCGUAGGUGAACCUGCGGAAGGAUCAUUAACGAGUUCUGAAACGGGUUGUAGCUGGCCUUCCGGGGCAUGUGCACACCCUGCUCAUCCACUCUACACCUGUGCACUCACUGUAGGUUGGCGUGGGCUUCCUUCGCGGGAAGCAUUCUGCCGGCCUAUGUACACUACAAACACUAUAAAGUAACAGAAUGUACUCGCGUCUAACGCAUCAUAAUACAACUUUCAGCAACGGAUCUCUUGGCUCUCGCAUCGAUGAAGAACGCAGCGAAAUGCGAUAAGUAAUGUGAAUUGCAGAAUUCAGUGAAUCAUCGAAUCUUUGAACGCACCUUGCGCUCCUUGGUAUUCCGAGGAGCAUGCCUGUUUGAGUGUCAUGGAAUUCUCAACUCAUAGAUCCUUGUGGUUUAUGGGCUUGGAUUUGGAGGCUUUUGCCGGCUUUAAUGGUCGGCUCCUCUCGAAUGCAUUAGCUUGAUUCCGUGCGGAUCAGCUCUCAGUGUGAUAAUUGUCUACGCUGUGAGCCGUGAAGCGUUUGGCGAGCUUCUAGCCGUCCCCUUGGGACAAUUUAUUGACAUCUGACCUCAAAUCAGGUAGGACUACCCGCUGAACUUAAGCAUA
rnacentral:rRNA from 1 species